CGUAGGUAACCUGCCCCGGANCGGGGGAUAACAUUUGGAAACAGAUGCUAAUACCGCAUAACAAUAAAAGCCGCAUGGCCUUUAUUUGAAGAUGGCUUUGGCUAUCACUCUGGGAUGGACCUGCGGUGCAUUAGCUAGUUGGUAAGGUAACGGCUUACCAAGGCGAUGAUGCAUAGCCGAGUUGAGAGACUGAUCGGCCACAAUGGAACUGAGACACGGUCCAUACUCCUACGGGAGGCAGCAG
rnacentral:rRNA from 1 species